UACGUAGGGUGCGAGCGUUAAUCGGAAUUACUGGGCGUAAAGCGUGCGCAGGCGGUUGUGCAAGACAGAUGUGAAAUCCCCGGGCUCAACCUGGGAAUGGCGAUGGUGACUGCAAGGCUAGAGUUUGGCAGAGGGGGGUAGAAUUCCACGUGUAGCAGUGAAAUGCGUAGAUAUGUGGAGGAACACCGAUGGCGAAGGCAGCCCCCUGGGUCAAAAACUGACGCUCAUGCACGAAAGCGUGGGGAGCAAACAAG
rnacentral:rRNA from 1 species